GUACAGGCUCGAUCUGGUGCUGGGUACGGCCCCAGUGUCAAUCAAAGUUCCUUCACACUUCCGGCUAGACCUGCAAAACCAACAGUGCCUAUUAUAUCGUAUAAAUGUAGCAAUCAGCGACUCACAUUGAAGCUGUUUCCUAAUAUCGUGGAUGAAAAACACUUUUAUAUGGCAAGAGUUUAUGCUGAUGAUGUUAGUCUUCCAAAGGCGAAAAUUCAAGAAGAGGAAAUUAAACGAGCCAACUGGGACUGUUAUUCUUAUUAUGGAUAAAACUGACAUCACACAAAAUGUCAUUUUUAUUCUGGGAGAUAAUUCCAUCAAGCUUGGCAUUCACAACCCAGAGCUUCAUUACAAUCAUACUUACGUCUUCUAUAUGGAAAUUGUCACUAAAUUUGAAAAUAUUAUCCGAUUCAGUUUUGUCAAGCACCCGAAAUAUUUUACCAUAGAUUUGAUGAACACUCCUGUAGAAGGUUCUUCAGACGAUGAGAAUGGUUCGGAUCUCUAUGGCAUUGCCGUUGGAAUUGUAUUUAGGAUCAUCUUUAUUCUUGCCGCAGCUUUGAUUUGCAUUGCAACAAAAAGAUCGGGCAAAGAUACAUGCACUAGUACUACUACGACAAAACCGAAAUACAAAGGAAACAGGGAGACAAAUUUUUGGCCGAUAAAUGGAAAUCUCGGUACAUCAAAUUCGAUGCAGUCAACAGAUUUCAGGCAAAUUCAAGAUCUAGGGAACAAUUCGAUUGUUAUGAACACUUUUCCUCUAAUAAAACUAACCAAUAAAAAUAUCAAUCGCUCGACAUCUUUUCAAAGAACACAUUUGAAAAAUGAUCGUCCUGAAAACACAAAUAGAGGAAACAUUAGGAGGUCUCUGUCUGCCACUGAAAUGAACUUUGAAAAUAACCUUUACCGAGCGUAUGACGUCACCAUGUCAUAAUCAAGCACUGCAAGCGCUCAAGAGGCACAAACAUGGCACACUAAGAACAAUAUAAUUGUAAAUAAUGAGGACAUCAUUGAAACGGCCCCUCCUCAGCCUCCCCACCACCGGCUUCGUAGAAGCAAUACUGGUAGUAAAUUUGAGGGGUCCCCAAUCACAAGCUCUGCCUUGAGUCUUACGAUCAUUCCCGAGUCGUUCUGAAACCCGAAGGGCCGGAUGAUUAUAUCUCAAAGACCGAAUUAGAGACGGAUUUCCUCGGUAUAUUGUAGCUCAAACGCCACAGGAUGAAGUACAUUUAUCUGCCAUGAAAUUCUGGCACAUGGUUCUGCAACUAAGAACGGACAAGAGUCAUUGUCAAGUUGUCCCAACAACCAGCCAGUUUCCCGUCCGAGAUCACGCGUACUUCCGGUCUGGUCACUGAGAGAUUCCACCUCAUUCCGAGGAUAUAUCUCGUCCGUUAUAUGAGGCUCACUAACGCAUUGGGCCAUACUUCUCGAGGGGUUUACAUCGUCCACGAUUUAAUGUGGUCUAAUGACGACCACUUUUACUUACCUCACGACAUAAAAGAGUUCAUCUCUUUGCGGGAUGUUGUCCGGAAGUGCUCGGGCACCUGCCCGGUGAUGUUCAGUGUAGUCAGGAGGACGGGAGAAGUGGGGUGUUUAUAUCUGUCGACGCUCCUAUUGGAGUAUGAAAAACAGCGGGAAGUGAACAUUUUCUCCUUCGUAAGAAACAUGUUUAAAGACAGUAUGGCAUGAUCAAAACAAUUUGACAGUAUCGAUUCAUUUACGAAGCGCUCCUGAAGGCGAAUUCACAAAGUUAAUUUUAUUGGUAAAGAUUGCUACAGUAACUAGCACAUUUACAAUGUAUGCGUGUAGUUUGAAUUCAUCUGUAAAAUAUGGUUUCAAUGAGUUUUGUUGGGUUUUUUUAAAUGUAUUUUUUUAGUUUUCUUGAAAUAUGAGCAAUAAUAAAGAUUUUGUUGUCUGGGACAGUAACGUACUGU
rnacentral:misc_RNA from 1 species